rnacentral:rRNA from 1 species
UACGGAGGGUGCAAGCGUUAUCCGGAUUUACUGGGUUUAAAGCGCACGUAGGCGGAUUCCUAAGUCGGGGGUGAAAUCCUGGAGCUUAACUCCAGAACUGCCUUCGAUACUGGGAAUCUUGAGUCCGGAAGAGGUGAGUGGAACUGCGAGUGUAGAGGUGAAAUUCGUAGAUAUUCGCAAGAACACCAGUGGCGAAGGCGGCUCACUGGCCCGAUACUGACGCUGAGGCACGAAAGCGUGGGGAGCAAACAGG